rnacentral:rRNA from 1 species
UACGAAGGGGGCUAGCGUUGCUCGGAAUUACUGGGCGUAAAGCGCACGUAGGCGGCUUCUUAAGUCGGUGGUGAAAUCUGGAGCUCAACUCCAGAACUGCCUUCGAUACUGGGAGCUUGAGUUCGGGAGAGGUGAGUGGAACUGCGAGUGUAGAGGUGAAAUUCGUAGAUAUUCGCAAGAACACCAGUGGCGAAGGCGGGUUCUCUGGGCCC